rnacentral:rRNA from 1 species
AACGAACGCUGGCGGCAUGCCUAACACAUGCAAGUCGAACGAGACCUUCGGGUCUAGUGGCGCACGGGUGCGUAACGCGUGGGAACCUGCCCUUAGGUUCGGAAUCACUCCCCGAAAGGGGUGCUAAUACCGGAUAAUGUCUUCGGACCAAAGAUUUAUCGCCUUUGGAUGGGCCCGCGUUGGAUUAGCUAGUUGGUAGGGUAAAAGCCUACCAAGGCGACGAUCCAUAGCUGGUCUGAGAGGAUGCUAAGCCACACUGGGACUGAGACACGGCCCAGACUCCUACGGGAGGCAGCAGUGGGGAAUAUUGGACAAUGGGCGAAAGCCUGAUCCAGCAAUGCCGCGUGAGUGAGGAAGGCCUUAGGGUUGUAAAGCUCUUUUACCCGGGAUGAUAAUGACAGUACCGGGAGAAUAAGCUCCGGCUAACUCCGUG